GUUUGAUCAUGGCUGAGGAUGAACGCUGGCGGCGUGCUUAACACAUGCAAGUCGAACGAUGAUCCCAGCUUGCUGGGGGAUUAGUGGCGAACGGGUGAGUAACACGUGAGUAACCUGCCCUUGACUCUGGGAUAAGCCUGGGAAACUGGGUCUAAUACCGGAUACGACCAUCUGGCGCAUGUCAUGGUGGUGGAAAGCUUUUGUGGUUUUGGAUGGACUCGCGGCCUAUCAGCUUGUUGGUGGGGUAAUGGCCUACCAAGGCGACGACGGGUAGCCGGCCUGAGAGGGUGACCGGCCACACUGGGACUGAGACACGGCCCAGACUCCUACGGGAGGCAGCAGUGGGGAAUAUUGCACAAUGGGCGCAAGCCUGAUGCAGCGACGCCGCGUGAGGGAUGACGGCCUUCGGGUUGUAAACCUCUUUCAGUAGGGAAGAAGCGAAAGUGACGGUACCUGCAGAAGAAGCGCCGGCUAACUACGUGCCAGCAGCCGCGGUAAUACGUAGGGCGCAAGCGUUAUCCGGAAUUAUUGGGCGUAAAGAGCUCGUAGGCGGUUUGUCGCGUCUGCUGUGAAAGACCGGGGCUCAACUCCGGUUCUGCAGUGGGUACGGGCAGACUAGAGUGCAGUAG
rnacentral:rRNA from 1 species